CUCAGGCUCUCUCUUUCGACACAUUUUCGCUGCCACCCGCAGUGGCCCUCCUCCUCAUCUCCCCAUGGUCCAGCGCCCCAGCAGCGUUGAGCUUUUGCUAUCCCUUCAGCGGGGGAAGGGCAGGAGGUGAAGGAGCGGAGUGGGGAAAGGCUCUGUGAGUGACCCAGAACGGAAAGACUCCAGUCUGGGUCCUAAUGCGGGUGGCGUCUCCUUUGACAGGCAACGUUUGGGGACAACAGCGGAGACAAGAGAUAAGCAACUACCUUUCCAGUAACAAAGCCAAGUCGGAGAAGAAAUGAACGCGACGUGCAAACUGUCUGUUUGGCAGAAGGUUGUGGGGUCUAGGCUCUUCAGCAGCCCGGAGAGAAGUGAAGGAGAUCGACUUCAAAGUCCGAGAACCGGAGACCUCUUGGCACCCUCUGCCCCGUAACCCGGACAGAGGCUUUAGUUGGAGCCCCAGCCCCAGGAGAAGAAAGCUCAGCGGUGGGGAAAUUACACUAUGGGGUUAUUAUAUAAUAUAUUAUAGGAUCUUCAGAUUUAAAGCUGGAAGGGACCUUGAAAUAUUGAUAUAUUAUAACGCAUGCAUUUUAAUAUACAUAAUGAAAUAAUAAAGAGCGUACGAUCUUC